rnacentral:lncRNA from 1 species
AGAUAUGUUCUCUAGCAACCUUAAUCAACCACAAAUCAACUAAUGCAACCACAACAAAAAUAAAUAAAUAGAGACACCGGUAUUUUUACGUGGAAAACCCCUUUAAAUCAAGGGUAAAAACCACGGGACUUCAGAGUCUGAUCAAGAGUUCCACUAUCAUCAAAUGUUCAACUACAAGAUCACAAUAUCAAGCCUACAACAAGCAUUCAAUUCCGACAAGGCUAACAAUAUGUAAUCUUUAGCAAAAGAGAGAAAAAUGAGAGAACAUCACCAAAAAU